UCAUCAUCUCACUCUGGUCGUUGCAUCGUAUCUCUCGUCUAACAACCAGCGUUGGUAUUUUUUUUUUCAACCAUACGGGUCGAGUGUCGCGCGACUAUAUCGCGAACCGUGAACAUACCGUCGUACCGUGUUCAGGUUUGAAGCUCGAACGUGUCGUAUGUUAAUUGUGUGCGUUUCCAGUUGAGGGAGAGUGAGAGGAAAAAAAAAGCUGAUGAGAGACAAAAGUGAAGAGGUAGUUUUUGAGAGGCAUAGGUGAGAAGAGGACACGUGUAUCGGAGGAUCCAAUACUGAGGAGUGAGGUGAUACCGAGGUGAAGUGAGCAGAAGACGACCCAGUCUCGAGUGCUGUUGAAGGCACCAUAACCGGCCAUUUAGUGAUCAGUGGGCAAGGGAUUCACCAAGUCAACAAAGGCCAACGCCGAGAUUCACCAAGAUUUUCAUCCAAGUCACGGGACUACCCAGAAGCCCCCGGGGCAAGGUCACCCAUGGAUUCUUCUAGCUAACAGAAAGUUCGCAUUGUGAAGGGAACUCCACAGUUCAGCGGUUGAGGAGCUAAUGCCGCGAUGAUUCUCGAGAUUCAGCUGUGAAAUGAGUAAAUUGAGCAGCAAAGAGUCGGGAGUUACCGACGCCUCUCUUCAAGUAUCCAUUAAAAAAAAUGGAGGGGAGAGAGAGAGAGACAGAGAGCAAAAGACCGAAUGGCUGGAGUACCUGAUGGGGAAAAAAUGACGCUGGAGAUUGAUUGAAGGACGUUAAGAGGCAAUAAUCGCGUGAUCUCCAUUUCUAGUCUUCGCCCCAAUCAAUCGGCUCAAUGACUACGUGAAAUCCCGAUUACGCAAUGCAAGAGUUAUCAAUCAAACUCUAGGAGAGCUUGACGAGCUAGUGUGCCUCAUCACUGGCCAAAACAGCGGAUGCUGGGGGGAUUGAGAAGGAGAGGAAGAUGAGACGAUGGUGGAGAAAAAAAUGAAGAUAACUCGAGUGGAGCCAUUCCGAUCACUGACCGCUGUCUCGUCUUGGUUUCUCUCGUGAAUUCUCAUCUCGCACCACGACCUGGGGUUUUGGGCCUCCGUUACCCCCGAGUCCUUCACGAUGAUCAACAUUUGUUAUCACGAGUGAUGUAAACGGAGAGAAACAUUCAUUGAAAAUUACGGAGAAGUUACGUAAUUUUGGAGCGAGAAUGCAGAUCCGUUGGAAAUUACGGAAGGUCCGGAAAAAAGUGGGGAAGGACUUGGGUAAUUAUUACGAAACACUCCAGUCCUUUUAUUGCACCCUUCGUCAGUUUUAUCAGACCUUUGGGCUCACUCGAGAAUCACGGAACUUUCACGUAAUUUUUAUUGAUCUAUUUUUCUCGUGUAAUAGAGUGCAUACAAGGAAAGAAAUAACGAGUGAAAAUCAAACAACUAUUUCAAUCAAUGCAGAUUUCCCCCCUCCAUAACAACUUGACGAGU